UGCUGGUGCAAGUUUAAAAAAAACUUCCCUGAAAUUCACCAAGAAAACGCCUUUUCCGUGAGCAACAACCGAUAUAUUCGCCGGGUAAAGUUCAUCGUCGGGAAGUAAACGAGCGUCGUUAUUGACCGAAAAUUGUGGGCUUGUCAUCGGCACCAAAAGUACCGGACUGCUGAUCAGUAAGCUGCAAUUUUAGCGGUGUAAUUUGUCCGCUGUCUUCUGAGUUUUAGACAGGCGGCUAACUCGUUCCUCUAUACGAUGGUGUGGCAGAACUUCCGUUUUGACCUCUAUGUUGCGUUCACGGAACCUUUUCCUGGAAGGCUUCCCGGAAUAAGUUUUUACGUCACCCGAGCGCAAGGUUAUCAAUUUAACAGAGUACGGUUGGAUGAACACCGGUCCGUGUUUCGCGGAUUAGUUCAAGUUGAAAAUGACUUCGACUAUACUAAAUACGCAUCUCUGGAAAGUGAUUAUCAUUUCGCUUCAACUGAUUGCGGAUUUGAUCCUUCAUCGGAAAACGAAAGUAACAACAGUGAGGGGAGCUUGAAGUAAAAUAUGGCUGCUAUCCAAUCCAGUCCAACGCGUUGUUUGGUGGAGCCGACCGAAUUCGACCAACAAGUUGAGUUCAACAUUUUUUCAUUCUUCAGGGAUUAUACUGGAAACAACAACAAAGCUAUCACUGUCGAUUAACUUCAAAUUUUCGGUAUGAGCCGUUUCAAUUAAAAUUAUGAAAAAAACUUCCAAUUUGUGACAGUAUCACAACGUGAAAACGCAGAAUUUUCAUAAUAGUAAGAAAAAGAAUUAACCAUAGACCAUUCAGUUAUUCUUCAA